GUGCCAGACUCCUACGGGAGGCAGCAGUGGGGAAUAUUGCACGAUGGGGGAAACCCUGAUGCAGCGACGCCGCGUGAGCGAUGAAGUAUUUCGGUCUGUAAAGCUCUAUCAGCAGGGAAGAAGCAAGACGGUACCUGACUAAGAAGCCCCGGCUAACUACGUGCCAGCAGCCGCGGUAAUACGUAGGGGGCGAGCGUUAUCCGGAUUCACUGGGUGUAAAGGGAGCGUAGACGGCCAAGCAAGCCAGGGGUGAAAGCCCGGGGCCCAACCCCGGGACUGCCCUUGGAACUGCUUGGCUGGAGUGCGGGAGGGGCAGGCGGAAUUCCUGGUGUAGCGGUGAAAUGCGUAGAUAUCAGGAGGAACACCGGCGGCGAAGGCGGCCUGCUGGACCGCUACUGACGUUGAGGCUCGAAAGCGUGGGGAGCGAACAGGAUUAGAUACCCCGGUA
rnacentral:rRNA from 1 species